rnacentral:sRNA from 2 species
GUGCAGGAAAAGCACGCUGGAAUCGAGUGCUGCAGACAUCCUGGACCGUGGUUUUUACGCAAAGGAAAAUAUCCCAAGGACUAAUCUGAUCGGGUCUUCC